UCUUUCAUUUUAGCUGAAGAACGGGAGUCUGCUUGUUUUUCACAUGAUGUCUGUCUGAGGACCAAAACCAUCAAACGAACCCAUAUUUCCUGGAAUAAAAUAACUUGGACUGCAACUCUAGAGACUGUAAACACAUGAAUUAUAUAUCCAAUGUGCAGUCGAACAGAAAUAAUCCACCGGAUCUGUUGUUUGUGUCCUGAAAGAAGCUUUGCGGCGCUUUUUGGACACUGGGAUGCUAACUUCGCGUUAGCUGCUAACCAGACAGUGAAAGCGUUGGACUUGUCAAGAUAUUCCAAGAAGACGGGAGCACACCAGCGGGAGCAUACAAAGGCAGCAGUGGUUGCAGGGAUCUGAGUGUCCCUCAUCAUCACCAUCGGGCCCUGAGAUGACCUCACAGCAGCCACAGCUCCCCAAUGCUGUCAUUCCUCCCCAGCUAGCACAGAACUCCUCCGCUCAGCAGGCCCGGCCUCAUAUUCAGGCUAAUCAACUGGACUCAAGUCAGAGCGGUGCAACCGCUGGCCCUGUGGACCACAGAGCUUUAACAGGCAGGCCGGGCUGCCCCGGUGUGGCAGCAAACGGCGGGGAGGUGGCCAAUAGGAACGUUUCUGCUUCCAGCUCCAGCUCGUCUAGGAGAGAUGGAGGCUUUGAGCCGUGGCCUGAGGAAGCAGUGGACAACUCCCAUGGUCUGUACUCCCUCCAUCGUAUGUUUGAUAUAGUUGGAGCCCAGCUAACGCACCGGGAUGUCAGAGUACUGUCCUUCCUAUUUGUGGACGUGAUUGACGAGUAUGAGCGCGGCGGCAUCAGGAGUGGAAGGGAUUUCCUGCUGGCUCUAGAGCGUCAGGGUCGCUGUGACGAGACCAACUUCCGACACGUUCUCCAGCUUCUAAGGAUUAUCACCCGCCACGACCUUUUGCCUUAUGUCACACUCAGGAAACGGCAGGCUGUGUGCCCAGACCCUGUUGACAAAUACCUGGAAGAGACAUCAGUGCGCUACAUUUCACCCCGGGGAGCAGUGCAGAGCAGGGACACCGUGCCUAACAGGAGAUCGGGUCCUCAGCCGGUCCUCUGCUGUUCCCCAUCAGGACCCCAUGUUGGUCCUCCAAGAACAAAGCCGACUCCUCCUGCACCGAACCGCAAACGGAGGAGAAGUCAUUCAUCAGCUGACUGCAGAGAGAAGCAAACAUGUGAUAUCCGCCUCCGUGUUCGUGCUGAAUACUGCCAGCACGAGUCUGCGCUUCAGGGGAACGUCUUCUCCAACAAGCAGGAGGCGGUGGAGCGCCAGUUCGAGCGCUUCAACCAGGCAAACACUAUCCUCAAAUCGCGAGACUUGGGCUCCAUCAUCUGCGACAUCAAAUUCUCGGAGCUCACCUAUCUGGACGCCUUCUGGAGGGACUACAUCAACGGGUCUUUGUUAGAGGCACUCAAAGGGGUCUUUAUCACAGAUUCCUUAAAACAGGCGGUGGGCCACGAAGCCAUUAAACUGUUGGUCAAUGUAGACGAGGAGGACUACCAGGCCGGUCGCCGCAAACUGCUGCGCAAUUUGGUGACGAGCGGAGGGAUCCCACCCGGAGGGAGCAAAGACUCGGUAUCUUAGACUCCAGGUGUUAGCAUCCAGCUGCUGUGCCUCCCCGACAGAGAACAGAGAGAGAGAGUCGUGGAUGUGUCGUUUGAGGUGCCUGAACUGCGUGCCCCUUGAGAACUAAGGUCAAAGGAAACCUAAGCGGGCGUCCUGAAGCGUAGCAUGCGAGGUCGACUGGGAACUAUGUUAGCAAAAGAGGAACGGGCAAUGCAUCGACAGGUUGACAUUAUUCUGAAUGUUAAGCUGCUUUCUUCACCGAGGAGAAUCCUGAUUCAUGCUUGUAUUGAAUAUUUUUUUUCUCGUUUCAUGUAUGUAAACAUGUUAACUCUAAUGAUGCUCUUCACCCCUUGUUCAAAAGGUCAUUUUCAACGCAGGAAAACGCGCUUAACGCUGACGUGUUACUCCCAGUGGGAGUUGUACUUUAUUGCCAAACUGGUUCAUCCUUUCCCAGGUACUUGAGAUUGAUUGGAUUAACCCAAUGAGAGUGUUCUGUAUGUGACAGAAAGGCAAAGACUGGACUUUUAAAAAUUAGUUUUUUUCUAUUUCUUGGAGCUUAUCACCCCCCCCUCCUUUGCAGAGUUUCCUCGUCUGUAGAGCUGAACCCUUUCCGAGCCUUUUUUAGCGGCUCAGACUUUGUCACUGUCGACUGUUCUCGUGUGUUUGCUUUGUUUUAACUUUGUUUUACAACACGGCUCUUUAGCAGCAGAUCUGUGAUUCUGGCCUCGUUUUGAAAAUGUCAGUUGUCCAGUUACUGCCAAAUAUUUAAAAAAAAGUCACUCAAACCCUUCAAAUGUGUCGAAUCGUAUCCCGCUGAACUCUGAGUCACGCCGGUGUUUAUCAACAUCUGUCAGCCCCCCCGGUACCUCCCGGACCUCUACUCACUCCCCCUCCCCCUCACACACACAAUUCAACACUCAGCUUUAUUUUAAAUACAAGAUUUCAAGUAACACUCCAAAUACUUACAGAACAAAUCAAAAGCAAGUGAAAGUCUGUUCUCAUCAUGCCCCCUGGUGGAUGAGAAUGUAGGCUCGUUGACGGAAUAUGUCGGCCUUGAUUUGACGCCAUCAGGACUCGUCACACCUCCAGUAGGGUCACAAACCGAGCUCGAGAUUCUUUUAUUCAGGUUUUUUUAAAAGCAGCACUUUAAAAAAACAACAUAACAGUGAGCUAUUCAGCAUGUGAAUCCUCUACGACCUUUAAAGCAGAGAAAACUACGUCUGCAGUGUAGCCUGUGAUGCUAAUCAGAGAGAAUUUGAAUUCCUAUGGAAUGGUUCAGGUACUGAAAUGGUUCACCAGGAGACGGUGAGUUUGAUGUGACCGACAGUAGUCUCUGUUUUCUGCAGUCGUACAAUUCUCCCAGAACCAGCCAUAUUAGGCUAACGUAGUUUAUGGUGAAGCCCGCUGAACCUGCUGUCAAACGAACCGGUUUUGUUUCAGGAUUUUUUUGUAGGUCUCAUGCAGUUAUUCCUGAUUUUGUAGCUGCAGGUUCAAUGCUUUAUGCACGCCAUCCCACCUCUGAUUCUGCUGCAACCUGUUGUGUGUGAACCAUUUAAUUACCAUAACCAUUUAUGAAGACUUUAAAAUAAACAAUAAGCUGUGAUUCAAUGUUCAGGAAUGAGUAUCUCACAUGGGCUGCCACUCACCCAUCCAGUACAGAUAUUUGUAUUUUCUGAUUGAUCUGCAUCUCAGAGUUAGAGAGCUUCACGGUGCAAAAACAUCCUGAUACCAAGAGUCUGCAGUUUUUGUUUUGUGUCCCCAUGUCGCUUCAUGUCAAAAAGUUAAUUCAUAGUGUUAUAAGACGAGGAUAAACACGGCAGCGUUGGAAAGCACUGCUCAUUGGCACUUUUUCACUGCUGUGUAAUUUAUUUUUGAGUCUCCACUUGCAGAAUCAAAACAUCUUCAGACACGACUUUUUAAUCCCAGAUGCAACGUUUAAAGAGAUUCUGAUUAAUAUUCUCAACAUGUGGAAGAGUUGAUUGUGGUCUGGUAACGGGAGUCUUGUUGGUUUGGUUCAUCUUUCUGUGAUGUGUGAAGCGAUCACAUUCAACAUUUACCUUAACACAGAAAACAUGUUUGUUAUUUUUUUAUAGAAAUGUGAUUUCAGUCUGAGAUUCAGAAUAAUAUCCAUGCCCCCCCUUUUAUCAAAGUAAGACAUAUGUCCCCCCCCCACCACCACCACCACCCCCCUGAGCUCCUCACACUGGAGCUCUGCUAACACCAUAAGCUAAAACCACGUUAUGAUUUGUGCAACAUAAUUCCAGAUAAUGUCUUGACGAGCACGAUGGGUGACCGAUAUGAGGAUUCACAUAUUUGCCUGUUUUUAUAUUCGUUCAACUUUGAGCAAGAAAUCCUUUAACACUGUGUCGACUUUUACAGAUCUGCGUCACUGUGCAGUGAUUUUUAGUUUCUUUACGACCCGUUUAAUGCAAUAAAAGUCACUUUGGGUUCAUGCUGCUGCUGUAGUAAGCCAGGCCGGUUUCUGUUCCAGGAACUGUAAUCGAGCUGGAAGGACGUCAAACUGGGCACCGAGUGGUCGACCUGACGUUGCAGGAAAGACGAGGAAGUUAAACCAGAAACAACAACUAUGUCCGCUUACACCGAGAGUUUGGUUUUCUGCAUUCUGAAGGGCAAAUGUUUUGGUUUGUGUCUAACCAAUAUGAACGUAAAAGAAAGAUCCUCUGAUUUAAUUUCCUUGAUUGACUAAAGGUUAAAUGAGCUCCGCUUUUGGUCCGAGUAGCGCUACACACUUCUUCCUGUUUUGCCGAUUAAAGUUGCCGUUUGACAGAAUUCACACGUUCUGCAGUCACACAAAUAUGGAAACAUUUCUUUGGGAUACUCAAUGAUGACACACAUGUCAAGGCGGCGGGGGGGAGGACCGUAAUCGUCCAUUUUUAAAUCCUCCAAAUUGUGACGUUAAAGAACGGAAAUGAAUCAAACUUGUUCAACAAGAAGGAAACAACACAGACUCGGAGAACCUUUGUUUGGAGAUGUUUUAAUAUCAGUGAUAAUAUAUCAAAGUAUUAGCAUAAUGCUGUUUUGUGAUGAGAUUCUUUAGACUCUGUAACAGAAGUAGAGAAGAGGCUGAAUGUCACUUUUAGUCCGAAUUGUCAUUUUAAAUGCAACUCUCUAAAAAAAACUCAUAUUUGACAUUAUACCUUCGUUUGUUUCUGUUUCUCAGUGCACAUAGCCAAAUGGUUGACAUAAAAGAAAUCUGUGUACCCCAAUAAAAGUUCAGUGUAUGUUUUUUAA